ACCUUUGACAUGGCAGGAAUCCUAAAGAGAUUUGGGAGUGCUCGAAAGAGAACCUGCACACAGGUGCUGCAUGGCUGUCGUCAGCUCGUGUCGUGAGAUGUUGGGUUAAGUCCCGCAACGAGCGCAACCCUUGCCAUUAGUUGCUACGAAAGGGCACUCUAAUGGGGCUGCCGUGACAAACCGGAGGAAGUGGGGAUGACGUCAAGUCCUCAUGGCCCUUAUAGUGGGGCUACACACGUCAUACAAUGGCCGGUACAGAGGGUAGCCAACCCGCGAGGGGGAGCCAAUCCCACAAAGCCGGUCGUAGUCCGGAUCGCAGUCUGCAACUCGACUGCGUGAAGUCGGAAUCGCUAGUAAUCGCGGAUCAGCAUGUCGCGGUGAAUACGUUCCCGGGUCUU
rnacentral:rRNA from 1 species